rnacentral:rRNA from 1 species
AGUGAACGCUGGCGGUAGGCCUAACACAUGCAAGUCGAACGGCAGCACCGUAAGAGCUUGCUCUUACCGGUUGCCAGUGGCGGACGUGUGAGGAAUAUAUCGGACUCUACUCUUUCGUGGGGGAUAACGUAGGUAAACUUACGCUAAUACCGCAUACGCCCUACGGUUGAAAGCAGUGGAUCUUCUCACCUUGCGCGGUUGAACGAGCCGAUGUGGGGUUAGCUAGUUGGCGGGGUAAAGGCCCACCAGGUCGAGGAUCCGCAGCUGGACUGAGAGGAUGGUAGGCGACCUUGGAGCGGGGACACGGACAAUGCUACUAAGAGAGGCAGCAGUGUCGAAUGUUAGGCAGUGGGGGCGAGCCUGAUCCAGCCAGAGCGCGUGGGAGAAGAAGGCCUUCGGGUUGUAAAGCCGGUUUGUUGGGAAAGAAAAGCAGCAGGUUAAUACCCCGCUGUUCUGACGGUACCCAAAGAAUAAGCACCGGCUAACUUCGUG